AACGAACGCUGGCGGCAGGCCUAACACAUGCAAGUCGAGCGAGGACUUCGGUCCUAGCGGCGGACGGGUGAGUAACGCGUGGGAACGUGCCCUUUGCUUCGGAAUAGCCCUGGGAAACUGGGAGUAAUACCGGAUGAGCCCUUUGGGGGAAAGAUUUAUCGGCGAAGGAUCGGCCCGCGUUGGAUUAGGUAGUUGGUGGGGUAAUGGCCUACCAAGCCGACGAUCCAUAGCUGGUUUGAGAGGAUGAUCAGCCACACUGGGACUGAGACACGGCCCAGACUCCUACGGGAGGCAGCAGUGGGGAAUCUUAGACAAUGGGGGAAACCCUGAUCGAGCCAUGCCGCGUGAGCGGUGAAGGCCUUAGGGUUGUAAAGCUCUUUCAGCUGGGAAGAUAAUGACGGUACCAGCAGAAGAAGCCCCGGCUAACUCCGUG
rnacentral:rRNA from 1 species